GGAAUCUUCGGAUUCUAGUGGCGGACGGGUGAGUAACGCGUAAGAAUCUAACUUCAGGACGGGGACAACAGUUGGAAACGACUGCUAAUACCCGAUGUGCCGCAAGGUGAAACCUAAUUGGCCUGAAGAAGAGCUUGCGUCUGAUUAGCUAGUUGGUGGGGUAAGAGCCUACCAAGGCGACGAUCAGUAGCUGGUCUGAGAGGAUGAGCAGCCACACUGGGACUGAGACACGGCCCAGACUCCUACGGGAGGCAGCAGUGGGGAAUUUUCCGCAAUGGGCGAAAGCCUGACGGAGCAACGCCGCGUGAGGGAGGAAGGUCUUUGGAUUGUAAACCUCUUUUCUCAAGGAAGAAGUUCUGACGGUACUUGAGGAAUCAGCCUCGGCUAACUCCGUGCCAGCAGCCGCGGUAAUACGGGGGAGGCAAGCGUUAUCCGGAAUUAUUGGGCGUAAAGCGUCCGCAGGUGGUCAGCCAAGUCUGCCGUCAAAUCAGGUUGCUUAACGACCUAAAGGCGGUGGAAACUGGCAGACUAGAGAGCAGUAGGGGUAGCAGGAAUUCCCAGUGUAGCGGUGAAAUGCGUAGAGAUUGGGAAGAACAUCGGUGGCGAAAGCGUGCUACUGGGCUGUAUCUGACACUCAGGGACGAAAGCUAGGGGAGCGAAAGGGAUUAGAUACCCCUGUAGUCCUAGCCGUAAACGAUGGAUACUAGGCGUGGCUUGUAUCGACCCGAGCCGUGCCGAAGCUAACGCGUUAAGUAUCCCGCCUGGGGAGUACGCACGCAAGUGUGAAACUCAAAGGAAUUGACGGGGGCCCGCACAAGCGGUGGAGUAUGUGGUUUAAUUCGAUGCAACGCGAAGAANCUUACCAAGACUUGACAUGCCGCGAACCCNG
rnacentral:rRNA from 1 species